rnacentral:lncRNA from 1 species
UGAGUGUCUUACUGCUAACCUGUGUGGGGGACAGGACAAGGGGGUGUCGAUGUUGUAGAAGGAAAUGAUAGGCUGGGCGCGGUGACUCACACUUCAAAACAUAUUCUUUCCAACAUUUAUAUUUUUCUUUCUCAGAUGUUUCUGGUACUCAGAAAAAUCAGGAACAUCAUUUUCAAUCUGAAGAAUUAAAUAAGAAAUUCAAUAAAGCAGGAUAAGAAAAUGGCUGGCAUGUUUUCCCAUUACCUAGAAUAGCUCUGUGGAGACCAACCAUUCCAUGAAAACAACUGCAAAACAGGAUAAUCCAGUAAAAACAUCUGCUGAAAGGCAUCAGAAAACUAGCAAGGCAGCAAGACUGAGAAGCCAAGAUAGCAGAAAGAAGGGUGUGCAGAGAGGUCAGCUCAGUAUUCGGUGCCACUUUUCCUUGAGGCAUUUGUCAACUCCUAAACAGCAGCCUAAAGAUGAAGGAGCUGAGCAGAUAUUCUAAGAGUUUCACGGGGAUAAGGAAUAACAUGGAAGCUUAAGACCCAAUAAGAAGCAGACAAAAUAUCCCAGCAUUUCAGUUGGAACCCUGGAUGGGAUUCAUUUCAGGAGUAAUAGGGAACCAGAAACAAAGGACGGUCAUGAAGAUUCAAGCCCACUGAGAUUAGACUAGCUGAUCUGCCUCUACCCUAACUUUCAACCAGAAAGAAAAUAAACCCGCUAGCAGUAACACCAUCUAGAGUCUGGAAUUAUCUCUGAAAAUUUUCACAUACCAUAUCCUGAUUUCAAUAAAAAAUUAUCAGUCAUAUUAAGAAGCAAAAUAAAUGAUCAAAAGCCAAGAGGAAAAAAAUCAAGUAAAAGAAACGAGCCAACAGGAGACAGGACACGGUGGCUCACGCCUGUAAUCCCAGCACCACAAGGUGGGUGGAUCACUUGAGGUCAAGAGUUUGAGAUCUGCCCGGCCAAAAUGGUGAAACCCCAUCUCUACUAAAAAUACAAAAAUUAGCCGGGCAUAGUGGUGGGUGCCUGUAAUCCCAGCUACUUGGGAAGUUGAGGCAUGAGAAUUGCUUCAACCCGGGAGGCGGAGGUUCCAGUGAGCUGAGGUUGUGCCUCUGCACUCCAGCUUGGCUGACAGAGCAAGACUCUGUCAAAAAAAGAAAAAGAAAAAAGAAAAGAAAGAAGCCAACAGGAGAUCCAGAUGUUGAAAGUUUUCGAUAUGGAUUUUUAAAUUACUACAGUUAAUAUGGUCAAGAAAUUUGCUGGUAGUAUGAAUAAUUUCAAAAAAGGACUGGAAAUUUCAGAACAGAAUCAAGUGGAAAUUCUAGAACUGAAAAUUAGAAAAACUGCAAUCAGACAUCAAAAGAUAGGACUAAGGCCAUUUAUGGAAUAUGGUCUGAAAGGUCUAAAAUAUAUGUAACUGGAGUUCCAGAGAAGAGGUAACAAGAGACUAGAACAGAGGUAAUAUCUGAAGAAGAAGUAGCUGAAGAAUUUCCAAGUGAUAAAAGUCACAGUUCACAAAAUACUACUGUGCCCAACUGGGAAAAAUUCAAAACAACCGCCUAACCACAUAAAAAGAAAGCUAUCUAAAAAGACAAAGAGGAAAAUCUUUGCAGAUAGAAAAAAAAACACACAUAAUACUUUUAAAAGGAAUAAUCAUCAGUCUGACAGUUAAUUUCACAAUUGAAAUAUUGGAAGCCAGAUGACAACAAGCAUCUUCAAAACAUUAAAAGAAAAUAACUGCAGCCUAGAAUUUUGUAUCUAACAAAAAUAUUCCCCCAAAUAAAUGUUAAAUAAAAACAUUUUUAUACAAGCACAAAACGAAAAGAAACUGUAAUCCCAGCACUUUGGGAGGCCGAGGAGGUCGGAUCACAAGGUCAGGAGAUCGAGACCAUCCUGGCCAACACGGUGAAACCCCAUCUCUACUAAAAAUACAAAGAAUUAGCCGGGCAGGAUUUC